rnacentral:rRNA from 1 species
AGAGUUUGAUCCUGGCUCAGGAUGAACGCUGGCGGCGUGCUUAACACAUGCAAGUCGAACGAAGCACCUUGAUUUGAUUCUUCGGAUGAAGAUCCUGGUGACUGAGUGGCGGACGGGUGAGUAAUGCGUGGGUAACCUGCCUCAUACAGGGGGAUAACAGUUAGAAAUGACUGCUAAUACCGCAUAAGACCACAGCACCGCAUGGUGCAGGGGUAAAAACUCCGGUGGUAUGAGAUGGACCCGCGUCUGAUUAGGUAGUUGGUGGGGUAACGGCCUACCAAGCCGACGAUCAGUAGCCGACCUGAGAGGGUGACCGGCCACAUUGGGACUGAGACACGGCCCAAACUCCUACGGGAGGCAGCAGUGGGGAAUAUUGCACAAUGGGGGAAACCCUGAUGCAGCGACGCCGCGUGAGCGAUGAAGUAUUUCGGUAUGUAAAGCUCUAUCAGCAGGGAAGAAAAUGACGGUACCUGACUAAGAAGCACCGGCUAAAUACGUGCCAGCAGCCGCGGUAAUACGUAUGGUGCAAGCGUUAUCCGGAUUUACUGGGUGUAAAGGGAGCGUAGACGGAGUGGCAAGUCUGAUGUGAAAACCCGGGGCUCAACCCCGGGACUGCAUUGGAAACUGUCAAUCUAGAGUACCGGAGAGGUAAGCGGAAUUCCUAGUGUAGCGGUGAAAUGCGUAGAUAUUAGGAGGAACACCAGUGGCGAAGGCGGCUUACUGGACGGUAACUGACGUUGAGGCUCGAAAGCGUGGGGAGCAAACAGGAUUAGAUACCCUGGUAGUCCACGCCGUAAACGAUGACUACUAGGCGUCGGGCAGCAAAGCUGUUCGGUGCCGCAGCAAACGCAAUAAGUAGUCCACCUGGGGGAGUACGUUCGCAAGAAUGAAACUCAAAGGAAUUGACGGGGACCCGCACAAGCGGUGGAGCAUGUGGGUUUAAUUCGAAGCAACGCGAAGAACCUUACCUGGUCUUGGAAUUUCCCUGACCGGGAAGAAAUGUUGCCUUUCUUCCGGACAGGGAUGACAAGGGGGGCAUGGUUGUCUCCACCUCCCGGCCUGAGGAGGUUGGGGUUAAUCCCCCCACAAAGCGACCCCUCUGCCGUUAGUUCUCCCCAUUAAUUUUGGAGGCCUUCCGAGACUGCCUGUGUUACCAAAAGAAGAAGGAGGGGGUGAAGGCAAAAAAUAUCGCCCCUUACUGUGUAGGGCUACACACGUGCUACAAUGGCUGGUACAGAGAGAUGCAAUACCGCGAGGUGGAGCCAAACUUAAAAACCAGUCUCAGUUCGGAUUGUAGGCUGAAACUCGCCUACAUGAAGCUGGAGUUACUAGUAAUCGCGAAUCAGAAUGUCGCGGUGAAUACGUUCCCGGGUCUUGUACACACCGCCCGUC